rnacentral:rRNA from 1 species
AGCAGCCGCGGUAAUUCCAGCUCCAAUAGCGUAUAUUAAAGUUGUUGCAGUUAAAAAGCUCGUAGUUGAAUUUCGGGAUCAUCAGGUUGGUCGUGCCUCUGGUAUGUACUGAUUUCGAUGGUUCCUCCUUCUUGAAGAUCCGUAAUGCCAUUAAUUUGGUGUUGCGGGGAAUCAGGACUGUUACUUUAGAAAAAAUUAGAGUGUUUAAAGCAGGCAACCGCUUGAAUACAUUAGCAUGGAAUAAUGAAAUAGGACGUUCGAUCCUAUUUUGUUGGUUUCUAGGAUUGACGUAAUGAUUAAUAGGGAUAGGUUGGGGGCAUUAGUAUUCAAUUGUCAGAGGUGAAAUUCUUGGAUUUUAUUGAAAGACUAACUACUGACGAAAGCAUUUGCCAAGGAUGUUUUCAUUAAUACAAGAACGAAAGUUAGGGGAUCGAAGACGAUCAGAUACCGUCGUAGUCUUAACCAUAAACUAUGCCGACUAGGGAUCGGAUGAUGUUAAUUUUAAUGACUCAUUCGGCGC